ACAAAUUAAAAGAAUCAAUAAAUUGAAUUGACCACAAAUAUAAAUUCCACAAUUUUCUCGAGAUUAUUUGAUAGUUUAAAAAGUCAUAUUUUUUGUAAAUCGUAGAUUACCAUUAUAGUCCUAAAAAACUAUACCGUUUGUACUCUUAUCCUACUAUACCAUUUUUUUCACUCCCUAUAACAGAGUCCAAUGUACGUAGUAUAUUUUAUUUUUUCUUGUCAUAUCUCUUCGUAAAGUGUCGACCAAAAUCAGCCAGUUGAAUAAUAUUGCAAAUAAAACACACACACACAAAAAAAAAUAUCAUAUAAUUAAUUGAAAACUAAGAAGAAUGACAUCUAAUCACUGAAUGUAAGCUAUAUUUCAACAAAUGAUCAAUUUGUGUAAGAAGACAUAUUAACACUACACACACCUUAGAUUGAUAUGAUAGAAAAUUAUAGAAAACUAAAUGGUGACAAACCUUAUUAGUAGUAUAUAAAAACUAAUGGAGUUAAGGCCAAAUUUGGGCCCUCAAUUCUAUAAUUUUUCACCGUUUAGGUACUGAAUUUUUUUAUUCACCAUUUGGGUACUCAGACCCAUUUUAUCGCAAAAAAAAAAUUAAAUCAGCUCAAACAAUUUAGUACCCUUGGUUAAAAGUUGAGUACCUUGGGUUAAGAUGUGGGGCCCACCCAAAUUUUUUCCUUCUUGCUCCCCUUUUCUAAAUCAAACCCAAACAUUUCUCAUUCUCCAUUGAAGCGCACCCAACAUUCUCCAUUAAAGCGCACUCAAUGUUCUCCAUUAAAGCAGUUUCUGAGGGUUCUCCUAAGCUCCACAACAUCCUCUAUUUCUUGGCUUUCGAUUGAUCAUCCUCCACCAUCGUGUAGGUGAAAUAAUGAGUUUUCUUGGCUUGUAAGUGUUUGAUUGGUGAAAUUAGAGUAAAAAAUUAGAAUUUUAUUGAUUUUGAAACGCCCAAAAAUGCUUGAUUAGGAUUUUGCUGAUCAAAAUUGAUGAACGAAGAUUGCGCGGAUGGUGAAGGAAAGAAGAAGAUUGUGGGUUUUGAGGAUUUGAGAUGCGUGGGUUAUUGAUUAUGCUUCUUUUUUAUUUAUUUGUCAAAAAAUACAAGGCUACUGUAAGUCUGUUAUAAAGAUUGCUACAAUCUCUAUUGAAAAUCAAGUAUUGCUUUGGCCUCUUCUUCUUUUU